CAGAGCUGGGAUGCUCUGGGGUCUCCUUUUCCACCACCACCACCAAGACCAUGCCGGAAGCCGGUGUUGUUUUUUCCCAUCAUUCAGGGGAGGGCGUCCUGCAGCCCAGAGAGAUUCAAUAAUUGGCUCCACCUUGCACAGCACAGCAGACACUUCGGAACAUAGGAUCAGUGGGCUGGAAGGGGAGGUCAUCAUUAUUUUGCAGAUGAAUAAACUGAGGCUCAGCAGUUGAAGUAUCUUCCCCCAAGUCAGGCAGGGAGCUGGCCGGACACACUUUGAUAAGCAGAUCAGCCGCCUUGCUUCAGGACUGCAUUCUGAUCAAAGCCCCAACAUUUUUCAUCAUCAGAUGUCACAAGGCUGGGUUUUGUUUCCCUAUUACUUCUCAAGGCUGGUGCACGCAGAAUGAAAUCUGUUGACAGCAGCUGCUUGUAAUGCUCCGAAACUGGUAAUUAUGCGUGUGACAGAGGCUGCAUUGGCUCUCCCUGUGCCUAAGUGUGACCGGCAGCCACGUCAAUCAGACCAUGUGAGCUGCUGACAGUCCGUGUUUACCCAGUGGCAGAUGUGCCCUGACAAAGGAAUGAAAGGAAGGCUGGGGCUCUGGGGGCUCCGGGAGGGAGGAGACCAUGUCCUUCAGCUGAUAGAAGACGCCCCUAAUUGGGAAAAAAAAAGAUCUCUACAAUGUCUCUGAAAAGUGGUCAUUGAGCUUCUGAGUGAAGAUUUCUCAUGAAGGAAAACUUGCUGCUUCUGUUUCCAUGCUUUCUCGGGCAUGGGCAAGCUCAGAAUCACAACCGGAAGAGGAAUGAAGAAUGACCAAAGUGAAGACUCCAGAAAGGAACUCACCAGUGGGAAAUGGGGCUGGAAUGGUCAGGAGGUAUUCCAGCCUCGAGUCAUACAACUAUGAAUUGGCAGCUCCCCCAAACCUGUAAGACAGCAUGAGGACCCAAGCCCCAGUGGGGAAGGAUCACUGGACUGGGAACUCACAGAAUCAUCCGUUCUGCUUGCUUCAUUUUUUACAGAUGAGGAAACUGAGGUUUGUUCAUGGAAAUCAGAUCCCACAGAAGAAAGCUGAAAGUAGAAUGGAAGGGACCUACUGGAAAUUCCAUUCUCUUUUAGCUUUCUAAUUAAAGCCACUAUUACAAAUGUCUAAUUUCAGCCAUGUAAGUCCCCUUUCCAGUCCUAUUUGUCUCCAUGGAUAGAAUUUGACUUGCUAUGGCUAAAACACUAUUUGUCAUGGUCCACCCUCUGGUGAUGAGUCUCUUUAGAUUUUUGUAGAGGAAGAACUAAUCUCUGAAGUUCAACUCUCUUAUUUUAUAGAUAAGGAAACUUAAACCUUCAGAUGUUUAGUAACUUGUCCAAGGUCAGGCACGUAGUAAGAAGCAUCAGAGGAGUUUUCAAGUCUCUAUCUUUCUCUGUGUACCCUAUUAGCUUAGCUAAGUUGGUCUUUAGAGGAUAGCUAGAGCUUCUGAUAUUUACUACUGUUGCUUCAUCUCUCAACCUGUUUUGUCAUCUGUUCAAUGGGGAUAAUAUAUAUAAUAUUUAACUAAUAGGAGCCAACUGGAUAGCUCAGUGGAUUGAGAGCCAAGCCUAGAGAUGGGAGGUCCUAGGUUCAAAUCUGACCUCAGAUACUUCCUAGCUGUGUGACCCUGGGCAAGUCACUUAACCCCCAUUGUCUAGCCCUUACUACUCUUCUGCCUUGGAACUAAUACACAAUAUUGAUUCUAAGAUGGAAGGUAAGGUUAAAAAAAAAAACUCAACAGGGUUGUUAUGAUUAGAUUACACAAUAUAUGUAGUGAUAUUUGCAAA